ACUAAAGGUAGUUUUAUGUAUUUAUGUGACUAUUUUCUGGUCACUUAUUAGAAGUUUAAUAUUUAAGAAAGACAUUUUGUUUUGACAGUUAUUUCACUUAGUUGCACUUUAUUAUGCACUUUGAUGUCAGCUUUACUUCGUUUCAAAGGGAUAGUAACUAUCACUGUGCCUACUGUUUAUUUUUUUGAUUAUAUGCACUGAAGAUGCGACUGUCUCAGAUGAGACCAAAUAUGGACAGGGACAAACUCUGUUUUUUGUUAUUUCAAAAGAAGAAAAAUGUCUCAAGUUCUGAAAAGUUACUGUUAAGCAAGUUACUUUUUAAUGCACGUUGAGGUGUGACCAAAACAAAAGAUGGUGUUUCUAAUCGGCACUUAGUUUUUAUGUUCAUAUGCACCUUAACGUGCUUAUAUUUACCUAUCAAAAUGUGUUGAAGUUGUGUGUUUGAAAUGUAAAAUUUAAAGAAGCAGUAUUUCAGCACAGGUUUAGUUUAAGUACUGCUCUUCUAUUGUGUUUAUGUCCUUUUGGACGUGGCAAUACGUUAAUAAACAUCCAGUGUGUUUGUUAUCUGUUUGUGUUUAUUUUAAAUGGUUAACUUUGCUCAGUGUCUGCUAAAAAUGUCCGGCCCAGCUCAUGUUCUUAGUCUGAAAAUCCGGCCCUAGUCAAUUUUUAAUUGAAUAGCCCUGCCAUAGACUGUAUAUAAUGGUAUUUACGCAGCUAAUCAACGUCAUUAACAGGCGUCCUUAUGUGCAGCCAUCGUUGUUGUCAUAGAUAUGAAUGAGUAGAUAGGACACGCCCCUUUGAGCUGCGUGCUACAGCGAGGCUAAGCUAGUGGGGGCGUUGAUGUAGACAGCGUGAAAACGGAAACAAGAAGUAUGCCAGCUCACUGUGCUGCAUACAGUUAUACACUACGUCGUACGAUUGAGACAAGGAAACUUGGAAUGACUUUUCAUAGGUUUCCCAGAGACUAUGGGUUGAGGAGGAAUUGGAAGUUUGUCGGCUUAGACCUGGUGUCAUUCCAUCAGUGUUAAACUUCCCGGCUCAUCUUGGAAGAGUAUGUGCCAGAAAGACCACAACCAAGCAGCCUUGAGAUCUUAGACAGCGUCUCCCUCAGGUCCCUCUCUAUCUCCCCACACAUCCACCAACCACUGGAACACAUCUCCAAAGUUCUGCUGGGCCAGCUCAGCUUCCCCUCAGAAGAAGUUCCACCAGAUGAAGGAGCCUUUUGAGAGGCAGCUGGCAUCGUGAUUGGACUGUACUUUGGUCUGUUCCAAUCCAGCUUCAGCUCCAGAGACGGCAGGCGGGACAAGUCAACGGAGGCCGGGUGGACGAAGGCAUGAAGCUGAGUACAAUACAGAAAACAACAGAGGAGGAGUGCAGCAGCCCAGGGCCAGAACAAACAGAGUAGCAUCAUAUGUCUCUUAGAAAACAUCAUAGUAUAGCCUUUGGUAUGAAAAAACGCCAUAAUAUACAUCAUAUAUUGUACAAAUAACAAGUCAAAGGAAAGAGACAUCAACUGUAGAAUUGUAGUAAUUGUGGGCUGACUGAUUUACUGAUUAUCAGUAUUUUAAUUUGUACUGAUUUACGGUAAUAAAUACAUUUAAAAAUGGUGCUA